GACGAACGCUGGCGGCGUGCUUAACACAUGCAAGUCGAACGGAAAGGCCCUGCUUUUGUGGGGUGCUCGAGUGGCGAACGGGUGAGUAACACGUGAGUAACCUGCCCUUGACUUUGGGAUAACUUCAGGAAACUGGGGCUAAUACCGGAUAGGAGCUCCUGCUGCAUGGUGGGGGUUGGAAAGUUUCGGCGGUUGGGGAUGGACUCGCGGCUUAUCAGCUUGUUGGUGGGGUAGUGGCUUACCAAGGCUUUGACGGGUAGGCGGCCUGAGAGGGUGACCGGCCACCUUGCGACUGAGAUACGGCCCAGUCUCCUACGGGAGGCAGCAGUGGGGAAUAUUGCACAAUGGGCGGAAGCCUGAUGCAGCGACGCCGCGUGCGGGAUGACGGCCUUCGGGUUGUAAACCGCUUUCGCCUGUGACGAAGCGUGAGUGACGGUAAUGGGUAAAGAAGCACCGGCUAACUACGUG
rnacentral:rRNA from 1 species